GGGAGUUUAGCUCAGUGGUAGAGUAUUUGCCUGGUAUGCAUAAAACCCUGGGUUCAAUCCCUAAUACUGCCA
rnacentral:tRNA from 1 species